rnacentral:rRNA from 1 species
UACGUAGGGUGCGAGCGUUGUCCGGAUUUAUUGGGCGUAAAGAGCUCGUAGGCGGCUCAUUGCGUCAACCGUGAAAACCAGCAGCUCAACUGUUGGCUUGCGGUUGAUACGGGUGGGCUGGAGUUCGGUAGGGGAGACUGGAAUUCCUGGUGUAGCGGUGAAAUGCGCAGAUAUCAGGAGGAACACCAGUGGCGAAGGCGGCUCACUGGACCGGUACUGACGCUGGAGGCGACGAAAGCGUGGGGAGCAAACGGG